CCCGGGCGACCGGGUGGAGGUAACGCGUAUGCAACUUACCUAUCAGAGGGGGAUAACCCGGCGAAGUACGGACUAAUACCGCAUGAAGCAGGGGCCCCGCAUGGGGAGUAUUUGCUAAAGAUUCAUCGCUGAUAGAUAGGCAUGCGUUCCAUUAGGCAGUUGGCGGGGUAACGGCCCACCAAGCCGACGAUGGAUAGGGGUUCUGAGAGGAAGGUCCCCCACAUUGGUACUGAGACACGGUCCAA
rnacentral:rRNA from 1 species